rnacentral:rRNA from 1 species
AUACGGAGGGGGCUAGCGUUGUUCGGAAUUACUGGGCGUAAAGCGCGUGUAGGCGGAUCGUUAAGUCAGGGGCGAAAGCCCGGAGCUCAACUCCGGAAUUGCCCUUGAUACUGGCGGUCUAGAGGCCGGGAGAGGUGAGCGGAAUUCCCAGUGUAGAGGUGAAAUUCGUAGAUAUUGGGAGGAACACCAGUGGCGAAGGCGGCUCACUGGCCCGGUUCUGACGCUGAGACGCGAAAGCGUGGGGAGCAAACAGGAUUAGAAACCCUAGUAGUCC